GGGGUCUUUACGGGUCCAGCACACACACAAAAGGCUACAUCUGAAACAGCACGUCGUAUUACAGGAUGUGGAAAACGCGAUUCUCAAUAAUCCCCUCCCCCUCUCCAUCCCUGCCCUACUCAGCGGUAUAUAUAAUCCGAUGACUUCUCUCCUUCUUCUUCUUCAUCUGUGACUAUUCAUUCUGUGUGGCACGUGAUGGCCGAGUUGAACAGGCUACAGAUGAAGAUGUGUCAGGCACAGACGAAAUUUCCCGUAAACAUCAGAGUCAGAGUGAGAAAAGAAAUUGUUCCAAGAAUGCUUGAAGGCCAACACAGAGAGAAUGAGGAGGAGGUUCUUCCCACACGCCGUUCGGGCCCUCAACCAGGACAGCACCAACAACUAGAGCCCGG
ensembl:lncRNA